CAAGAGGAGCCUGGUGACAGGUGCUGCAUGGCUGUCGCCAGCUCGUGUCGUGAGAUGUUGGGUUAAGUCCCGCAACGAGCGCAACCCUUGUCUUUAGUUGCCAUCAUUCAGUUGGGCACUCUAAAGAGACUGCCGGUGUCAAACCGGAGGAAGGUGGGGAUGACGUCAAGUCCUCAUGGCCUUUAUGACCAGGGCUACACACGUACUACAAUGGCCGGUACAAAGGGCAGCCACUUAGCGAUAAGGAGCCAAUCCCGUAAAGCCGGUCUCAGUCCGGAUUGGAGUCUGCAACUCGACUCCAUGAAGUUGGAAUCGCUAGUAAUCGCAGAUCAGCACGCUGCGGUGAAUACGUUCCCGGGCCUU
rnacentral:rRNA from 1 species